rnacentral:lncRNA from 1 species
UGCUUCCUUAAUUGCCCUCAUCACCCUCGUUCAAAAUCAUGCUUCCUCUCCAUCGUUUUUUGACCUCAAAAUACAAAAUCAAGAAACCCUUAAACCCUCGUUAAAAAAAAAAAAGAAGAGGAAGAAGCCUUAUCCACCCAAAUCCAUUAGUUUCAGUCUUGGUUUAGAAUCAAAUACAGAGCUCUUUCUGUCUAAGCCUCGCGUUUAAUUUGGCCUUCUUUGAUUCUUUGAUUUGUGGGUUUUCUUUUUAUUCCCUUGCUUUGGUUUGAUUUUUAUACUUAUUUAUUAUUUUACAAGAGUUAGUUUGUGUCUAUCUAUGGAUUUCGUUAAAUUUUUGUUUGGACAUUGCCUUAUUAUUGUCACGAUCCAAUUCUGGGUUCUUUUUCUUCUUUGUCGGUUGCCAGUGUUUGAGGUCGACUCUUUUGCAUAAUUAAAUUUCAAAUUGCAAGGAAAGUGAUAUAAGGUAACCCCAUAAUCUUUUAUUUUAUUUUUUACAGUUCCUCUUGUUUGUUAAUUUUUUUUUUGGUGCCAAAAACAUAUAGAUUUGAUAACUUAAGAGUUCAGUGCAAUAUUUCAAAGCAUAUUUGCUUUUGGUUUGAACUCCUCCAGAAAAGUUGUUGUGCUUUGUCUUUUGUUUAGUGACUUGGCAAGGCCUUUGAAAUUGGGCAGGUUUUGGACUUUUUUUUGUCUAUAUAUAUAUAUUUUCAUUUAUUUACCACUAUUAUAUAGUGAUCAUCUGGAUUUCUAGUUCCAUUUACAGCACUACUUAUUUGCAUUUCUUGUCUAUUAAUCAAGUUUCUAUGUGCAAAUUCGUUUUCUUUGGACAUUGCCUUAUAGCUGCAUGUUCAGCUUCUUCUGUUUGGUUGACGGCAGCAAUUUUCGCUUCUAAGGAUGCAUCACAGUCCUGACGAACCUUCCUCAAUUCUUGUUUAGCUGCAUCAAGUUCAGUAAUUACAGUCACGUAUUUUUCCCUUGCAGUUUCCAAGUCCUAGCUCCUAGCUCCAUCAGGUCCUAGAAGAAUACCAGAAUUCGCUUCUUCAAUCUGCUUAGCCUUUUCCUUGCAUCUUCUGUAGCCUUGAUUGCGCAAUCCUUCGACUCGUUAACAGUUUUUGAGUUUGUGUGAGACUUCCUCGGCGGUUUUUUAGCCCUUUCUAGCUGUACGAGUGCUUGAGCUUUAGUUGUCUCCGCUUUUGCUACCUGCUCCUUUAACUUGUUCAACUUCAUUUGAGUAAGGUGAAGGUUGUAGUUUGUAAUUGCACUGCUUUAUAGUUAUGAUUGGUGAUACAUCUUGGGACUUCUAGUGUUGUAACCUUUCUUUUUCUAUAUGGUGAAAGACUGUAUCUCUUUUUCUGCUCAUUGUGUUGAAAUGUUGUAAUCAAUGGCGGUGGUAAUACAAAAACUAUAGUUUACUCUUAAUUUAUAUUUUUUAUUUUUCCAU